CGGAGGGGGGCUAGCGUUGUUCGGAAUUAACUGGGGCGUAAAAGCGCACGUAGGCGGACCAGAAAAGUUGGGGGGUGAAAAUCCCGGGGGCUCAACCCCGGAACUGCCUUCAAAAACUAUUGGUCUGGAGUUCGAGAGAGGUGAGUGGAAUUCCGAGUGUAGAGGUGAAAAUUCGUAGAUAUUCGGAGGAACACCAGUGGCGAAGGCGGCUCACUGGCUCGAUACUGAACGCUGAGGUGCGAAAAGCGUGGGGGAGCAAAACAGGAUU
rnacentral:rRNA from 1 species